rnacentral:sRNA from 1 species
ACAGAAGAAAAGGUCUAGGGUUUGGAUAUUAUGUCGAACCAGAAAUUAUUGAUGGAAAAAAUAAAAGUCGAUCUGCAAAUGUUGCAAACUGAAUUUUCAACUGACCUGGCCAAGGAACAAAUAAUCUAAAUAGGCAUAUUGGGAUGUAUUGUUCCAAUAUAUUCCAAGUGAAGAGAGGGAAAGAUUAUUUAUACAUUGGAAGUAUCAUUCAUUCUUCAGAUGGUGACAACCUACAUUUGAUCGCCAAGCUCUUUAUUAGUGCUGAAAAUUGUAUUUCAGAAAACAGAUGAUCCAAAACUGGAAUAAAUUGUUAAAUUGCAUCCACCCAUCUUUUCGGAUAGUUAGACAGCAAACUAUUUGAUUAGAUUGUCUUGCAUUAAUGAGGACACUAAGAAACAAUUUGCAUCAUAAUGUUGAAAAGUAGGUGGUACAAUGUUAAUUCUACUGUAGACCUCUGGACUAAUUAUUAGAAUUUCAGAAUUUGGGGGUACAUAUGUGUCACUGCAAACUACAUCAACGCUAAAUUUGAGUUGCUUAAGUUCAUAAAAUAACAUUUAAGCAUAUUAGUUAUCCUCAAACAUCUUAUGAUGUGCAAGAUGGACUUACCUCUUGUUGGGUGAGUGGGAUCUAAUUGAUAGAUUGUUUACCUUCACAUUGGUUAAUGCAACUGUUAA